CUAGCCUAGGGGCAAGACAGAUACAGCGAGAGUAACUCUGUUAUCGAAGUGUUGCUCAGAAUUCCUCUGGAUAGCUCUGGAUCACUCUGGUUUGCCCGAAGGGUUGCCUGAUAGCUGUGAAAAAUCGAGCAGUCUUGUCCGAUUUCUCGCUUCGUAUCGACGUUUCUGAAUGGAUUCGAGCGAAAAUAGUUACUCAGGAUUGCUCAGAGUUGCUCCGGAUUGCACAGUGUCUCGCCCCUAGAUUCUAGCUUUGAUUGACAAAUAUUAACACAUUAAACUGUAUUUAUUAUAUCUCGACAAUUUAGUCAUUAUAUCCGUAAUAAUUAGCGAAAAAGCCGUAACCAACAAAAUGUACACAAUUUGAGUAAUUGCAGGAGUGAAAAGUAGCUAGAUUUGUCUUCUAAAUGCUCACAAAGUUUCCUUGAUAUCACUUUUCUAACUAUUGAAAAUCACUGAUUGAGUGAAAGGCGUAAUCCCAUUCUAUUCCAAACGAACAAAAACAAGAAUUACGCCUUCUACUCCUUUGUUUUGUUUGGUGUUUUGUUUACGAAAGUGAAAGGCGAAACUGAAAUCAACACGUAAACACGGCGAUAGUAGAAGGCGAAACUGAAAUCAAAACGUAAACACGGCGAAAGCAAAUGGCGAAAUUCUGUCAAAAUCAUAAACAAGGCGAAUAGUAAAAGGCGAUUCUGAAAAUGAUAUCGAUUCGAGGCGCAUAGUAUUGGGCGAAAUUAGCUUUCUCAGGUAUCAAUUCAGGCGUAAUUAAAUGAAUGCAAGUUUUAGUGCAAAAAAUAUCAAAUUCGUGCAGUGUUCUUAGAAAAACAAGAAACUAUGUCAGAACUGUAUCAAUUAACCUUAUUUAAGUUAAAUUAUUCUGUAUUACUUCUAAAUAGGAAUUAAAAUUUGAUCAGCAAAAUUCGGUUGUUGUUUUCGCAUUGUUAUUGCUUUGUUAGUUACGCCCUAUUCGCGAAUUACUCCCGAUAUGUCCAACAUCCAUAUAAAAUGGAGAGAAAUGUUCAAGAAAUGACACUCGAAGCUUUCCAUAAUGCAUGAGUGAAUUCCAGGGGGUGAGAAACUCGGCACACUUCAUUUUGUGCCAAUGUGCCGGCGAUGUGCCGAAGUGUGCCGCCGUACUGGCAGUCAUGCUGUCAGUUGACUUGAAACUUUUUAUAUAACUGGCAACUACGCGUUUGUUUUGGUUUUCGUUUUGUGUUCCAUAAAUGUUUUGUGAUGCGGCCUGUAUCCAUUUUGUGGCUGAGAAAAUGAUGGUGGAUGCCAGUGGAUUCCGUACGUGAUUCCGUACCAGAGUCCUUCAUAAUUGCCCAGAACUCGCGGCUAGAAUCUAUACGGAAAACUUACGAUGCGGAAAGUUGGCCUUCGUCGUGAACCGGAAAGCUUUUCUGGGAAACCAGUUUCAUAACCACCGCUGCUGUCUUGGGUGCUACCGGCUUUCAGGAAGAUUCAAAUACCAUACCAAGAACAGCGACAUCGCAGUCAACCAUCCCCCAAACCAAAGAACUAGGUACAUAAAUUUGCACCGCACGCAGUCACCGACCGCAUCCUGAAGCAAUAACUGAUGUUCCUGAAACGCUCCGGCUGCAGCUAUUGUUUCGAAGAGAGACUAACGACCAACCAUCCCAGUAGUACCUAUAUGGCUCGCACAACCAACUGGCCCACCUGAAGUACCAGCUAAACUACUACCUGAUCUGGAUUUAUGGAAUCGCUGCCGAUAAACGGAUCAAUGUGACCUUCCGGGGAAGGAAUUCACUCAUGCAUUAUGGAAAGCUUCGAGUGUCAUUUCUUGAACAUUUCUCUCCAUUUUAUAUGGAUGUUGGACAUAUAAUGACUAAAUUGUCGAGAUAUAAUAAAUACAGUUUAAUGUGUUAAUAUUUGUCAAUCAAAGAGUAUUACUUUUAUUAUAUAAUAAGCAAUAAAGCAUGUGAAUAUUGCAUACAAAUUA